rnacentral:tRNA from 1 species
GGUUAUGGCUCAGGGGUAGAGUGCUCACCUUGCACGUGCAAGGCCCUGGGUUCGAGCAUCAGCACCA